GGCAGACAUGUGCAGGAUUAAAUGUAGGUUGGCCUUUGGCCAGCAGCGCGUAAAGCGUGGGAUCCUACUACCUGAGGUCUGCUUUUUU
rnacentral:sRNA from 12 species